UAAUACGUAGGCAGCAAGCGUUGUUCGGAAUUACUGGGCGUAAAGGGUGCGUAGGCGGCGCUCUAAGUUUGGUGUGAAAUCUCCCGGCUUAACUGGGAGGGUGCACUGAAGACUGGGGCGCUCGAGUAUGGGAGAGGAAAGCGGAAUUCCUGGUGUAGCGGUGAAAUGCGUAGAGAUCAGGAGGAACACCUGCGGUGUAGACGGCUUUCUGGACCAUCACUGACGCUGAGGCACGAAAGCGUGGGUAGCAAACAGGAUUAGAUACCCUGGUAGUCCACGCCCUAAACGAUGCAUACUUGGUGUGGGUUCUUCACUGGAUCCGUGCCGGAGUUAACGCGUUAAGUAUGCCGCCUGGGGAGUACGGUCGCAAGGCUGAAACUCAAAUGAAUUGACGG
rnacentral:rRNA from 1 species